UUGACUGCUAAUCUUAGAGUUCCUUUGCUCCUGUAUGCUGCACUAAGUAGAUCAUGAGCAGCUUGGGAAAAACAUAGCUGAAUUUCUUCUUCAGCUUUUCAUUUCUGUGGAAGAUGGAAAAUAUAUCUCUUAGAGGGGAGCAGUCCUGUUCUUCCUAUGUGUGCUUAUGACUAUUUAGCACGUUUAUUAGUGUGAUUUAUGUGUGUAUAAUGUAAGAGGAAAAGACUGUCUACAGUACUACAUUAGAUCAAGGGCCUGUUUUGCCCAGUAUCUUGUCUGUGCCUGAGGAAGACCAGAAGGAAAAAUCAAGCAUGCAGUGAUACUUCCCAGAAUUUCUUGAAGAAUUCCCUGAGCUAUAGCUUGACAUCUUCCAUGAGCGUAACAUUCUUUCUGAAUGCAUGCAAACAUUCUGCAACCAUGACAUAACCAGGAAUAAUUGCAUGUAAAAUACCAACAUAUUGGUUUUACUAAGAAAUGACUUAGCUACUGCAGAAGGUUUGGGCUUUCAAAACAAUAAUACAGUUCUGAAUUUUGACCCCAUUUAGAAAGUUCUGAUGUGUCUUCUUGAAGACUAUGAACUGAAGGUUCAAAGACCCUCUGGAAGCUGGAAUUGAUCCUGUAUCCACAGAGACUCAGGCUUCCUGUUUGCUUUUCAACUUGACAAGUCACUUCAAUGACUUUCAGCAAGAAACAUCUCAGAACAAGAAAGAAAAAAGGAGAGGGAAGGAAGGAAGGAAGGAAGGAAGGAAGGAAGGAAGGAAGGAA
rnacentral:lncRNA from 1 species